rnacentral:tRNA from 1 species
GCAUUAGUAGCUCAGAUUCAGAGCGUCGGUCUUGUAAACCGAACGUCGAGGGUUAAAAUCCCCCCUUAUGCU